AGCAGCCGCGGUAAUUCCAGCUCCAAUAGCGUAUAUUAAAGUUGUUGCAGUUAAAAAGCUCGUAGUUGAAUUUCGGAGUUUGUCGGUUGGUCGGGCUUCAUUGUCCGCACUGACCUGAUGGAUUCCUACCUUCUGAAUAACCAGCAUGCUAUUAAGUUAGUGCGUUGGGGAAGCAGAGCUAUUACCUUGAAAAAAUUAGAGUGCUUAAAGCAGGCUUGUGCUUGAAUAGAUUAGCAUGGAAUAAUAAAAUAGGACGGCAUGGUUCUAUUUUGUUGGUUUCUAGGAUCACCGUAAUGAUUAAUAGGGAUAGUUGGGGGCAUUAGUAUUCAAUUGUCAGAGGUGAAAUUCUUGGAUUUAUUGAAGACUAACUUCUGCGAAAGCAUUUGCCAAGGAUGUUUUC
rnacentral:rRNA from 1 species